UGAAGCUUCAAGAUUUUAGAUUUAUAUAUUAGAUUAGAUGGAGUAUGCACACAUAAUGUGGUGGGGAAGAGCUUUGAGGUUUAUAUUUGCUAUUACUUUUGCAUGCUUUGUUCUGGAGUAAAACUACAAAAGCAAGUUGUAGAGAAUUUAAGAAAUCAAAGAAGAUUGAUCUUUGGUUCCAUCUCAUCUGAAAAAAUAUCCAUCAAAAUUGCAUCAAAAUAUCACCUAACUAAUCCAUCAAAACUGCAUUCAAAUAAUAUUGCUGACUACUGUAAUAUACAGAUGCAAACUGAUGAACAUGUGAAUGUACGGAAGAUGGGUGGAGGGACGUGGGGAGGGGAACAGAGAACAAAUUGGCCCGGUGGUCGCUGGAGGAGCUGAGCACCUUGUGUCCAGGUCAAGUUCCCGUGUCCUUCUCCUCGCCGAGCACUUUGC
rnacentral:rRNA from 1 species